rnacentral:tRNA from 1 species
AGGAGUGUAGUUAAAUCAUAACAUAUAAUUUGCAAUUAUAAAUUAUUUAAAUAUCUCUCUUU